AUUGAACGCUGGCGGCAUGCCUUACACAUGCAAGUCGAACGGUAGCACGGACUUCGGUCUGGUGGCGAGUGGCGAACGGGUGAGUAAUGCAUCGGAACGUACCCGGUAGUGGGGGAUAACUACCCGAAAGGGUGGCUAAUACCGCAUAUACUGUGCGCAGGAAAGCAGGGGACCUUCGGGCCUUGUGCUACCGGAGCGGCCGAUGUCAGAUUAGGUAGUUGGUGGGGUAACGGCCUACCAAGCCUGCGAUCUGUAGCGGGUCUGAGAGGAUGAUCCGCCACACUGGGACUGAGACACGGCCCAGACUCCUACGGGAGGCAGCAGUGGGGAAUUUUGGACAAUGGGCGCAAGCCUGAUCCAGCCAUGCCGCGUGAGUGAAGAAGGCCUUCGGGUUGUAAAGCUCUUUCGGACGGAAAGAAAUCGCGCAGGCUAAUAUCCUGUGCGGAUGACGGUACCGUCAUAAGAAGCACCGGCUAACUACGUGCCAGCCGCCGCGGUAAAAC
rnacentral:rRNA from 1 species